AACGAACGCUGGCGGCAUGCCUAACACAUGCAAGUCGAACGAGACCUUCGGGUCUAGUGGCGCACGGGUGCGUAACGCGUGGGAACCUGCCCUUAGGUUCGGCAUAACUCCCCGAAAGGGGUGCUAAUACCGGAUAAUGUCUUCGGACCAAAGAUUUAUCGCCUUUGGAUGGGCCCGCGUUGGAUUAGCUAGUUGGUAGGGUAAAAGCCUACCAAGGCGACGAUCCAUAGCUGGUCUGAGAGGAUGAUCAGCCACACUGGGACUGAGACACGGCCCAGACUCAUCCGGGAGGAAGCAGUGGGGAAUAUUGGAAAAUGGGCGAAAGCCUGAUCAAGCAAUGCCGCGUGAGUGAUGAAGGCCUUAGGGUUGUAAAGCUCUUUUACCCGGGAUGAUAAUGACAGUACCGGGAGAAUAAGCUCCGGCUAACUCCGUG
rnacentral:rRNA from 1 species